UACAGAGGGUGCGAGCGUUGUUCGGAAUUACUGGGCGUAAAGGGCGCGUAGGCGGCAUAUUAAGUCAUCUGUGAAAUCUCCGAGCUUAACUCGGAACUGUCAGCUGAUACUGAUGUGCUAGAGUGCGGAAGGGGCAAUCGGAAUUCUUGGUGUAGCGGUGAAAUGCGUAGAUAUCAAGAGGAACACCUGAGGUGAAGACGGGUUGCUGGGCCGACACUGACGCUGAGUGCGCGAAAGCCAGGGGAGCAAACGGG
rnacentral:rRNA from 1 species